rfam:Halomicronema hongdechloris C2206 genome.
AAAAAGGCCUUUCUAGAGGCCACCUUUACCCUGUCACCCGAUCUG